rnacentral:rRNA from 1 species
CAAUGCUCCCGCCGGCGACCGGCGCACGGGUGAGUAACACGUAUGCAACCUGGCCCGCGGACGGGGACAACCCGGGGAAACCCGGACUAAUACCCGGCGGGGCCUGAGGGGGCAUCCCCUCCCGGCUGAAGGAGGCGACUCCGCCGCGGGAUGGGCAUGCGGCGCAUUAGCUUGUUGGCGGGGCAACGGCCCACCAAGGCGACGAUGCGUAGGGGUUCUGAGAGGAAGGUCCCCCACAUUGGAACUGAGACACGGUCCAAACUCCUACGGAAGGCAGCAG